rnacentral:rRNA from 1 species
AAAUUGAAGAGUUUGAUCAUGGCUCAGAUUGAACGCUGGCGGCAGGCCUAACACAUGCAAGUCGAACGGUAACAGGAAACAGCUUGCUGUUUCGCUGACGAGUGGCGGACGGGUGAGUAAUGUCUGGGAAACUGCCUGAUGGAGGGGGAUAACUACUGGAAACGGUAGCUAAUACCGCAUAAUGUCGCAAGACCAAAGAGGGGGACCUUCGGGCCUCUUGCCAUCGGAUGUGCCCAGAUGGGAUUAGCUAGUAGGUGGGGUAAAGGCUCACCUAGGCGACGAUCCCUAGCUGGUCUGAGAGGAUGACCAGCCACACUGGAACUGAGACACGGUCCAGACUCCUACGGGAGGCAGCAGUGGGGAAUAUUGCACAAUGGGCGCAAGCCUGAUGCAGCCAUGCCGCGUGUAUGAAGAAGGCCUUCGGGUUGUAAAGUACUUUCAGCGGGGAGGAAGGGAGUAAAGUUAAUACCUUUGCUCAUUGACGUUACCCGCAGAAGAAGCACCGGCUAACUCCGUGCCAGCAGCCGCGGUAAUACGGAGGGUGCAAGCGUUAAUCGGAAUUACUGGGCGUAAAGCGCACGCAGGCGGUUUGUUAAGUCAGAUGUGAAAUCCCCGGGCUCAACCUGGGAACUGCAUCUGAUACUGGCAAGCUUGAGUCUCGUAGAGGGGGGUAGAAUUCCAGGUGUAGCGGUGAAAUGCGUAGAGAUCUGGAGGAAUACCGGUGGCGAAGGCGGCCCCCUGGACGAAGACUGACGCUCAGGUGCGAAAGCGUGGGGAGCAAACAGGAUUAGAUACCCUGGUAGUCCACGCCGUAAACGAUGUCGACUUGGAGGUUGUGCCCUUGAGGCGUGGCUUCCGGAGCUAACGCGUUAAGUCGACCGCCUGGGGAGUACGGCCGCAAGGUUAAAACUCAAAUGAAUUGACGGGGGCCCGCACAAGCGGUGGAGCAUGUGGUUUAAUUCGAUGCAACGCGAAGAACCUUACCUGGUCUUGACAUCCACAGAACUUUCCAGAGAUGGAUUGGUGCCUUCGGGAACUGUGAGACAGGUGCUGCAUGGCUGUCGUCAGCUCGUGUUGUGAAAUGUUGGGUUAAGUCCCGCAACGAGCGCAACCCUUAUCCUUUGUUGCCAGCGGUCCGGCCGGGAACUCAAAGGAGACUGCCAGUGAUAAACUGGAGGAAGGUGGGGAUGACGUCAAGUCAUCAUGGCCCUUACGACCAGGGCUACACACGUGCUACAAUGGCGCAUACAAAGAGAAGCGACCUCGCGAGAGCAAGCGGACCUCAUAAAGUGCGUCGUAGUCCGGAUUGGAGUCUGCAACUCGACUCCAUGAAGUCGGAAUCGCUAGUAAUCGUGGAUCAGAAUGCCACGGUGAAUACGUUCCCGGGCCUUGUACACACCGCCCGUCACACCAUGGGAGUGGGUUGCAAAAGAAGUAGGUAGCUUAACCUUCGGGAGGGCGCUUACCACUUUGUGAUUCAUGACUGGGGUGAAGUCGUAACAAGGUAACCGUAGGGGAACCUGCGGUUGGAUCACCUCCUUA